UACAGAGGGGGCAAGCGUUGUUCGGAAUUACUGGGCGUAAAGGGCGCGUAGGCGGCCUUCUAAGUCGAACGUGAAAUCCCUGGGCUCAACCCGGGAACUGCGUCCGAUACUGGUGGGCUCGAAUCCGGGAGAGGGAUGCGGAAUUCCAGGUGUAGCGGUGAAAUGCGUAGAUAUCUGGAGGAACACCGGUGGCGAAGGCGGCAUCCUGGACCGGUAUUGACGCUGAGGCGCGAAAGCCAGGGGAGCAAACGGG
rnacentral:rRNA from 1 species